AGAAACGUCCGUUGUUGGCGUGGUCAUGGUGGGUGAAUUCGGCGGCGAUUUCGGUGGGAGAAAUUAGGGUUUUGAGACCGGGUCGUUUGCUAGGGAUGUUGCUAUCAUGCUAUGCAUCCUGAGACUUGGAUUGAUUUCCCUUUGCCUGAGGAUGACGAGGAUGAAGGAAGUUGAAUUGCAUAAUUAUAAACGGAUAACGGGGAGAGAAAAUGUGUGAUAGAUCCUGCAAUGACCUCAGUUUGCGGUGCACCAGGGUGGAAAUGGCUCAAGCAAGGUAACCAAGAAUGUGAUGCAUUGUAGUACAAGAGUGAUUGUAAAUGUUCAUUGCAAGGGUAUUAUUACCGGCUUACUUUGAAUUUUCAAGAGCUUUUAUAGACUUUCAAAUGUAAUGGCAAUGGCAAUAUAAUCAGAGUUUUUGUAAAGCUACUCUGCAAAUUAAUCGGCUUUUUAUGGAAUAUAAUUCCUAUUUAUUGCUGGAAA